rnacentral:rRNA from 1 species
UCUCAGUUCGGAUUGGAGUCUGCAACCCGACUCCAUGAAGCUGGAUUCGCUAGUAAUCGCGCACCAGCCACGGCGCGGUGAAUACGUUCCCGGGCCUUGUACACACCGCCCGUCAAGCCAUGGAAGCCGGGAGUGCCUGAAGUGCGUGACCGCAAGGAACGCCCUAGGGUAAAACCGGUGACUGGGGCUAAGUCGUAACAAGGUAGC